GAUGAACGCUGGCGGCGUGCUUAACACAUGCAAGUCGAACGAAGCGACUAUGAUUGAGAUUUCGGUUGAUUGAUUAGUUGACUUAGUGGCGGACGGGUGAGUAACGCGUGGGUAACCUGCCUCGGAGACUGGGAUAACGUUUGGAAACGAACGCUAAUACCGGAUGAUUCAUAUUUAGAUAACUAGAUAUGCUAAAAGGAGCUUCGGCUUCACUUCGAGAUGAGCUUGCGGUGUAUUAGUUAGUUGGUGGGGUAAUGGCCUACCAAGACAACGAUGCAUAUCCGAGCUGAGAGGCUGAUCGGACACACUGGGACUGAGACACGGCCCAGACUCCUACGGGAGACAGCAGUUAGGAAUAUUCGUCAAUGGGGGAAACCCUGAACGAGCAAUGCCGCGUGAGUGAUGAAGGUCCUUUGGAUUGUAAAAACUCUGUUGUAAAGGAAGAAACCUUAUCAUAGGUAAUGAUGAUAAGCUGACGGUACUUUACCAGAAA
rnacentral:rRNA from 1 species